rnacentral:rRNA from 1 species
GUGUCAGCAGCCGCGGUAAUACGUAGGGGGCAAGCGUUGUCCGGAUUUACUGGGUGUAAAGGGCGCGCAGGCGGAUUGACAAGUCAGAGGUGAAAUCCUGCAGCUUAACUGCAGAACUGCCUUUGAAACUGUCAAUCUUGAGUACGGAAGAGAGAGACGGAAUUCCAGGUGUAGUGGUGAAAUACGUAGAUAUCUGGAAGAACACCAGUUGCGAAGGCGGUCUCUUGGUCCGUUACUGACGCUCAGGCGCGAAAGCGUGGGUAGCAAACAGGAUUAGAUACCCCGGUAGUCC